UUUCAGGCCAUCUUAGGGCCCCCCUGUGCCCUUUGAAGUAAAUCACAACCCUCGCUUCCUGUUUGGAGUUUGGAGGAAAACAGUGCUGUGACGGCUCCCCGUACAUAAAGCCGUGCGAGCGCAAUCUGCCUGCCUUGGAGAUCCUUCCAUCCGAAAGAUCAUUUCCAUUUUCGGGACGACCCUCUCAGGAUUCCUCUGGGAACCCAGCCGCGGGGCACCGCUCCCCGCUUUCCUCUGGGCUCCGGAACGACCUACGCCAAGUACAGAGCAGUCCCCAGCAUGGCUGCCGCGUUCCGGUUUCUUUGUCAAUGUGAAGCGUCCUCGUUGCCGGUCGCGUUGCCAUCCCAACGCCCUUUCUGUGCUCUCGGAGUGGCCAGCAGGGGGAGCUACGCGGCCGUUUCCGAGCCCCAGGCGGGGCUUUGUGACCGGCCAGGGCUUCUCCUAAGGAGUCCUAAGGACAGUACCUGUGGAUCUUAACGUUUUAGGGAAGAUAGAAACCGUCCUGGGCAUGGCACGGAGAUUCACUGGGUACUUCUGCAGAUAGAACCUUAGGAGACAGAAAGCUGGAUGUUCCAGCUGUCGAGAGCUUUGCCGUCAGACAUCCCUGUGAUGAGAUUGCUUAGCUACCUUACCUCCAGCCAGUGGCUUAAACUCCUCCAGGCACGGUUUCUUCACACGAAAAACUGGAGAAUCCAAGCUGCCCUCAGGGGGAUGCUGGAAGAGUCUCUGUGUGGCUAAUAGAGAUCUCAGCCACGGAGGCAUUCGGGGAAUGCUAGGUAUCAUUGCUCAGUGAAGGCUGAGCCAAUUUCGAAGCACCCCGACCAGAAUUCUCUCUCUCUCGGCUCUUUUCUCUCUCCUGGCCGGAUGGCCUCCUUUUCUCUCCCUUCAGCUCUGCAUUCUCUCCCUGCCCUUCCUGCCUGUAGCUGAGGCCUGGAACCCACGCUGUGGACCUCAUCCUGGGCGGCGUCUAUCCUCCCUGUUCCUGGAUACCUGGCUGUGACCCACUGGUGACAUAAAUUUGAUAGGUUGUGACCAGCGUUAAAAAAAUAACUGUUGCUGACAUUGAGUCUUCAGUGAAUAGGAGCAUCAUCAUCUCUCAGUGGAAGAAGCAGGCAAGAGAGAGAGAGAGAGAGAGAGAGAGAGAGAGAGAGAGAAGAGAAUGUUUUUAUAAUAUGGGUCUUGGCCAGAUAAUAGAAGGGAUGUUCCAAGGCGUCUGCCUCUAUUCUGACUCAUGCGUUGGCUGUGAGCUUGAGGAAGUCAUGACAUUCUCUAUAGAAGGGAACUGGAGCGAUCCCUCAACUCAGCGCAGAUAACAUUCUGAUAACAGGAGCUUCAAGAUCACUGGAAACAAAACACUGCUGUUCACUUGCGCGGUCUGGCCCUUGCAGGCCGUCCUGUUCUGCUUUCAGACAGAUGAGGUUCCCUGCAGCCGAGUCCUGCCUGACUCCCAAGAGAACCCUGGUCCGAAAGGCAGCUGUGAGGAGCCUGGCCCGCAUUCAGGGGCGACUUCAUGUUGCGAUCCCGGCCACCAUGUCACAGGGACUGAUGUAGCUGGCUGGGUCCUUGACCUUCUGCUGUAUGCCUCACUUCUCUUCCCCUCUGGAACCCGGUUGCUCACGUCCAACCCGGAAGGGGCAGUGGCUGAGAUGGAAGGGGAGGAAAACCUGAGAGGGGACACUGUACCUCUGGGCUCUGUGCAUGGGUAAGGAGUUUCUCCAGAUGCGGCCUUUCUCUGCUGCUGCUGCUCUGAUCCCUCUCCUGCCCAGAGCUAAGGCAUUGUCACUGUCUCUGGUGUAUUUUUAGCUAUCCUGUUCCUUGAAAGCCUUUCCGAUUUCUCUGACGUUGAUUUUCCAGAACAAUCCAAGGGUGGGUCGAUGCUUUUAUGUUUCUAAUUUUCCGUGCUUUGUUUACUACAAGAGCAAACAUACAUGUUACAAAGGCUGUUUGUACGUUUGGAUAAUUAACUUCUCCUAGUGGUUAAGGCGGAGGGCGGAGAGGGCACGAGGUGGAGAAAGAGGGAGGAGGCUUUAGAGUCAGACCCGGCAGCUUUGAAUCCGGGCUCACCACUCAUUAGCUGUGUGGCCUUGGAGAAGCAACUAAACCUCUCUGAGCUUCAGUUUCCUCCUCUGGAGAUUGGUAAUAGGAACAGUCUCCAGCUCACUGCGCUGUUAGAAAUUGAAAUAAGAUAAUGAAUCUAUAACGAUUUGGUUGGUUCAUGAUACUUAUUAAGGGCUCUUUAUAAAACUCUUAUUGUAGUCCGCCUCAGUGUUUUCGUCUGUAAAAGGGACAAAUAGUAAAACACCAUGAACAAAAUAAUACAGAACUGGCUCUAGAGCAAAGAAGUUUGUAUGAAGCAAACCCAGUGGGCCUUGUACCUUAAGGCUUACUGGCCUGACAGAGGGUAAGAGGAGAUCUGAAUGGUUUGGGGGAGCCACUGAGGAAGGUAAGAGCCAGGCUCAUUUAAAGGGAUGUGGGGAGGGGCGCCUGGGUGGCUCAGUCGGUUGAGCGUCCGACUUCGGCUCAGGUCACGAUCUCGCGGUCCACAGGUUUGAGCCCCGCGUCGGGCUCUGGGCUGAUGGCUCAGAGCCUGGAGCCUGCUUCAGAUUCUGUGUUUCCCUCUCUCU